UAGAGUUGGGUGUGAUAUGGUAGCACGAAGAAUUUUGAGUUCUUAAGAUUAGGUUCGACUCCUUUAACUCUAG
rnacentral:tRNA from 1 species